CCUACGGGGGGCAGCAGUCGAGAAUCAUUCACAAUGGGGGAAACCCUGAUGGUGCGACGCCGCGUGGGGGAAUGAAGGUCUUCGGAUUGUAAACCCCUGUCAUGUGGGAGCAAAUUAAAAAGAUAGUACCACAAGAGGAAGAGACGGCUAACUCUUUGCCAGCAGCCGCGGUAAUACAGAGGUCUCAAGCGUUGUUCGGAAUCACUGGGCGUAAAGCGUGCGUAGUGUGUUUCGUAAGUCGUGUGUGAAAGUCGCGGGCGCAACCCGCGGACGGCACAUGAUACUGCGAGACUAGAGUAAUGGAGGGGGAACCGGAAUUUGCGGUGUAGCAGUGAAAUGCGUAGAUAUCGAGAGGAACACUCGUGGCGAAGGCGGGUUCCUGGACAUUAACUGACGCUGAGGCACGAAGGCCAGGGGAGCGAAAGGGAUUAGAUACCCUGGUAGUAC
rnacentral:rRNA from 1 species